UACGGAGGAUGCAAGCGUUAUCCGGAAUGAUUGGGCGUAAAGCGUCUGUAGGUGGUUUUUUAAGUCUACUGUCAAAUAUCAGGGCUUAACCUUGAGCAGGCAGUAGAAACUAAAGAGCUUGAGUACGGUAGGGGCAGAGGGAAUUCCCGGUGUAGCGGUGAAAUGCGUAGAUAUCGGGAAGAACACCAAUGGCGAAAGCACUCUGCUGGGCCGAAACUGACACUCAGAGACGAAAGCUAGGGGAGCAAAUGGG
rnacentral:rRNA from 1 species